rnacentral:rRNA from 1 species
AUUGAACGCUGGCGGCAGGUCUAACACAUGCAAGUCGAACGGUAACAGGAAGAAGCUUGCUUCUUUGCUGACGAGUGGCGGACGGGUGAGUAAUGUCUGGGAAACUGCCUGAUGGAGGGGGAUAACUACUGGAAACGGUAGCUAAUACCGCAUAACGUCGCAAGACCAAAGAGGGGGACCUUCGGGCCUCUUGCCAUCGGAUGUGCCCAGAUGGGAUUAGCUAGUAGGUGGGGUAACGGCUCACCUAGGCGACGAUCCCUAGCUGGUCUGAGAGGAUGACCAGCCACACUGGAACUGAGACACGGUCCAGACUCCUACGGGAGGCAGCAGUGAGGAAUAUUGCACAAUGGGCGCAAGCCUGAUGCAGCCAUGCCGCGUGUAUGAAGAAGGCCUUCGGGUUGUAAAGUACUUUCAGCGGGGAGGAAGGGAGUAAAGUUAAUACCUUUGCUCAUUGACGUUACCCGCAGAAGAAGCACCGGCUAACUCCGUG